UACGUAGGGUGCGAGCGUUGUCCGGAAUUAUUGGGCGUAAAGAGCUCGUAGGCGGCUCGUUGCGUCGGCUGUGAAAACCCGCAGCUCAACUGUGGGCUUGCAGCUGAUACGGGCGGGCUGGAGUUCGGUAGGGGAGACUGGAAUUCCUGGUGUAGCGGUGAAAUGCGCAGAUAUCAGGAGGAACACCGGUGGCGAAGGCGGGUCUCUGGGCCGAUACUGACGCUGAGGAGCGAAAGCGUGGGGAGCGAACAGG
rnacentral:rRNA from 1 species